GUUGUAUAGUCAAGUAAUUAAGUGCAUGUGGUGGAUGCCUUGGCAGUCAGAGGCGAUGAAAGACGUGAUAGCCUGCGAAAAGCUCCGGGGAGGCGGCAAAUAUCCUUUGAUCCGGAGAUGUCUGAAUGGGGGAACCCACCUACUUUAAGGUAGGUAUUGCAACAUGAAUACAUAGUGUUGCAAGGCGAACGAGGGGAAGUGAAACAUCUCAGUACCCUUAGGAAAAGAAAUCAAUUGAGAUUCCCUCAGUAGCGGCGAGCGAACGGGGAUCAGCCCAUUAAGUUAUGUGUGUUUUAGUGGAACGCUCUGGGAAGUGCGAACGUAGAGGGUGAUAUUCCCGUACACGAAAGGGCACACAUAAUGAUGACGAGUAGGGCGAGGCACGUGAAACCUUGUCUGAAUAUGGGGGGACCAUCCUCCAAGGCUAAAUACUCCUGACUGACCGAUAGUGAACCAGUACCGUGAGGGAAAGGCGAAAAGAACCCCUGUGAGGGGAGUGAAAUAGAUCCUGAAACCGCAUGCAUACAAGCAGUGGGAGCACCUUCGUGGUGUGACUGCGUACCUUUUGUAUAAUGGGUCAGCGACUUAUAUUCAGUAGCGAGGUUAACCGUAUAGGGGAGCCGUAGAGAAAUCGAGUCUUAAUAGGGCGUUUAGUUGCUGGGUAUAGACCCGAAACCAGGCGAUCUAUCCAUGAGCAGGUUGAAGGUUGGGUAACACUAACUGGAGGACCGAACCCACUGUCGUUGAAAAGCCAGGGGAUGACUUGUGGAUAGGGGUGAAAGGCUAAUCAAGCCUGGUGAUAGCUGGUUCUCCCCGAAAGCUAUUUAGGUAGCGCCUCGGACGAAUACCAUAGGGGGUAGAGCACUGUUUCGGCUAGGGGGUCAUCCCGACUUACCAAACCGAUGCAAACUCCGAAUACCUAUGAGUACUAUCCGGGAGACAGACUGCGGGUGCUAACGUCCGUAGUCAAGAGGAAAACAAUCCAGACCGCCAGCUAAGGCCCCAAAAUCAUAGUUAAGUGGGAAACGAUGUGGGAAGGCAUAGACAGCUAGGAGGUUGGCUUAGAAGCAGCCACCCUUUAAAGAAAGCGUAAUAGCUCACUAGUCGAGUCGGCCUGCGCGGAAGAUGUAACGGGGCUAAAACUAUGUGCCGAAGCUGCGGAUNNNNNNNNNNNNNNNNNNNNNNNAUGCUGGAGGUAUCAGAAGUGCGAAUGCUGACGUGAGUAACGACAAAACGGGUGAAAAACCCGUUCGCCGAAAGACCAAGGGUUCCAGUCCAACGUUAAUCGGGGCUGGGUGAGUCGACCCCUAAGGCGAGGCCGAAAGGCGUAGUCGAUGGGAAAAUGGUUAAUAUUCCAUUACUUCUGUGUAAUGCGAUGAGAGGACGGAGAAGGCUAAAUCAGCCUGGCGUUGGUUGUCCAGGUGAAAGGAUGUAGGCAUGUAUCUUAGGCAAAUCCGGGGUACUCUAUGCUGAGAUCUGAUAGCAAGCUGUACUUGUACAGCGAAGUGGUUGAUGCCAUGCUUCCAGGAAAAGUCUCUAAGCUUCAGUUACACAGGAAUCGUACCCGAAACCGACACAGGUGGUCAGGUCGAGUAGACCAAGGCGCUUGAGAGAACUCUGCUGAAGGAACUAGGCAAAAUGGUACCGUAACUUCGGGAGAAGGUACGCUGUUGUUGGUGAUGGAACUCGCUUCCUGAGCUGACGACAGCCGCAGAAACCAGGCCGCUGCAACUGUUUAUUAAAAACAUAGCACUCUGCAAACACGAAAGUGGACGUAUAGGGUGUGAUGCCUGCCCGGUGCUGGAAGGUUAAUUGAUGGGGUUAGCGUAAGCGAAGCUCUUGAUCGAAGCCCCAGUAAACGGCGGCCGUAACUAUAACGGUCCUAAGGUAGCGAAAUUCCUUGUCGGGUAAGUUCCGACCUGCACGAAUGGCAUAAUGAUGGCGGCGCUGUCUCCAGCAGAGGCUCAGUGAAAUCGAAAUCGCUGUGAAGAUGCAGUGUACCCGCGGCUAGACGGAAAGACCCCGUGAACCUUUACUGCAGCUUGACACUGAACUUUGACCUUACUUGUGUAGGAUAGGUGGGAGGCUUUGAAGCUGGAACGCUAGUUCCAGUGGAGCCGUCCUUGAAAUACCACCCUGGUAAUGUUGAGGUUCUAACUCUGUCCCGUGAUCCGGGACGAGGACCGUGUCUGGUGGGUAGUUUGACUGGGGCGGUCUCCUCCUAAAGAGUAACGGAGGAGUACGAAGGUGCGCUCAGCGUGGUCGGAAAUCACGCGUAGAGUAUAAAGGCAAAAGCGCGCUUAACUGCGAGACCCACAAGUCGAGCAGGUACGAAAGUAGGUCUUAGUGAUCCGGUGGUUCUGUAUGGAAGGGCCAUCGCUCAACGGAUAAAAGGUACUCUGGGGAUAACAGGCUGAUACCGCCCAAGAGUUCAUAUCGACGGCGGUGUUUGGCACCUCGAUGUCGGCUCAUCUCAUCCUGGGGCUGAAGCAGGUCCCAAGGGUAUGGCUGUUCGCCAUUUAAAGAGGUACGCGAGCUGGGUUUAGAACGUCGUGAGACAGUUCGGUCCCUAUCUACCGUGGGCGCUGGAAAUUUGAGAGGAUCUGCUCCUAGUACGAGAGGACCAGAGUGGACGAACCUCUGGUGUACCGGUUGUGACGCCAGUCGCAUCGCCGGGUAGCUAUGUUCGGAAGGGAUAACCGCUGAAAGCAUCUAAGCGGGAAGCCUACCUCAAGAUAAGAUUUCCCUAGGACUUUAUGUCCUCUAAAGAGCCGUUCGAGACUAGGACGUUGAUAGGUUGGAUGUGGAAGCAUAGUGAUAUGUGAAGCUGACCAAUACUAAUUGCUCGUGAGGCUUGACUAUACAACACCCAAGCAGUUG
rnacentral:rRNA from 1 species